UACAGAGGGUGCAAGCGUUGUUCGGAAUUAUUGGGCGUAAAGGGCGCGUAGGCGGUGCGGUAAGUCUGUAGUGAAAUCUCUGGGCUCAACUCAGAGUCUGCUGCAGAAACUGCCGUGCUUGAGUGUGGGAGAGGUGAGUGGAAUUCCCGGUGUAGCGGUGAAAUGCGUAGAUAUCGGGAGGAAUACCUAUGGCGAAAGCAGGCUUCUGGGCUAUCACUGACGCUGAUCUGCGAAAGCUAGGGGAGCAAACAGG
rnacentral:rRNA from 1 species